rnacentral:rRNA from 1 species
GGAUGCGAUCAUACCAGCACUAAAGCACCGGAGUCCCAUCAGAACUCCGAAGUUAAGCGUGCUUGGGCGAGAGUAGUACUAGGAUGGGUGACCUCCUGGGAAGUCCUCGUGUUGCAUCCC